UCGGGAAUUUUGGGCAAUGGGCGAAAGCCUGACCCAGCAACGCCGCGUGAAGGAUGAAAUCCCUCGGGAUGUAAACUUCGCAAGAACGGGAAGAAUAAGUCUGUGUAAAUAUCACAGAUGAUGACGGUACCGUUUGUAAGCUCCGGCUAACUCCGUGCCAGCAGCCGCGGUAAUACGGGGGGAGCAAGCGUUGUUCGGAUUUACUGGGCGUAAAGGGCGCGUAGGCGGUCAGCACAAGUCAGUUGUGAAAUCUCCGGGCUUAACUCGGAAAGGUCAACUGAUACUGUGCGACUAGAGUGCAGAAGGGGCAACUGGAAUUCUUGGUGUAGCGGUGAAAUGCGUAGAUAUCAAGAGGAACACCUGCGGCGAAGGCGGGUUGCUGGGCUGACACUGACGCUGAGGCGCGAAAGCCAGGGGAGCGAACGG
rnacentral:rRNA from 1 species